rnacentral:lncRNA from 1 species
AGAAUGCAGUGAGGGUAGCGACCGGGCUACACAGGUGAUGAAGGGGGGAACUGCAUCCUGGGAUCCGCAGUUUCGCCUGUCCACCCGCCAAAUCCUAAGAGUGGCUGAGCGCAGUUAUUGGGGAGUGGUAGAAACAGGGUUUCACCAUGUUGGCCAUGCUGGUCUCGAACUCCAGAACUCAAGUGAUCCGUCCGCCUCGGUCUUCCAAACUGCUGGGAUUACAGGCGUGAGCCACCGCGCCCAGCCUUUGGGGAAGUUCUUUUUACCGUCCAUCAUCCAUUGCCACCACACCUUCUGCUUACGAGUUAUUUAUAAUAAGUUUAACUAAAAGAGAACGAGAGAACAUCCCCUGAAACCCAAAGUUUGUCAUUCUAUACAGCUUUCCUGCCUGCAAAAGAGGAGGAGCAGACUCAUCCAGCAAAUCACCUAAAAAGUUUGAAGAUCAAAAAGCCUAGCUCCAGUUUCAGAUCCUUCCCCUACCUUUCUGAACACUAGUUUCUUCCUCUGAAAAACGAAAGAGGGAACGGGACCGUAGAGUGGAGUGGGCACAAGAAUCGCAAGUCCCUUCUGGCUAUGACGCUGCAAGACUCUAGGUACAGUUUAGGACUCCGGGCAUUCAGAUCCCCGGGACUUGUCAAGUUCUCCUCAUUGACAUUUUUGAUAUUUCGUGACAACACAAAUUCAUCACAUUUUUGUGCUGUGUGUUAUAUGUGGGAAGGAGAUUUUAAAAAGAUUGCCUUUUGAAGUUAUUGGAUAGCUGUGUUACAGAAGAAAACAUUGCCUUCAAGAAGUUAUUGGAUAGAUAUGUUACAGAAGAAAAGACGUUUGUUUCAUUUUUGACUUUGCAGGAAAAGAAUAUGUAACACAUCAGAAUUCUUCUCUCCUCCCUGGCCUUAGUCGAGUACCUGAGGGGCAUUAAAGCACUUCCUCCUUGCAAUCACUUACCCAGCAUAGUCCUUAAUACAGAUAUCUUCAUUGUUGAAUGAAUGAA